AUGGCAGAGACAGGAAGUGGCGCAGUAUUCUAGUCAGUACUGCCAUUUCUGAAGGCGGGGCUAAAAAUCCGUCGAAGGGCACAUCGAUGAAGUUCCUGGUUUCGGCUGCCGACGCCCAGUCGGGGGUCGGUGCUGGGAGUAAGGUGAAGGGGGCGAUCCACAAUGGCAUGUGGGCGAUGACCCUCUCACCGUGGAGACCUAAAAGAAGGACCCUGUCCGUAUUUUAGGAUAAACCUGCAGGGUGGUACCAAUUCUUGACGAUUGUGUGCUACAUGCAGCGUAGCCUGCCUUGAGUGGGAUUUGGUGGAUAAUAGAUUGCAGGUAUGAUGCCUAUCGGCCAAUGGGUAUGAUACUAUUGCUAUUCGAAACCUUUUCUGCAAAAGAGGCUAGGAAAUGGUUUGGCUGUCGAGGAAAACUCCUAGACUGUUCCUUUGGAGGCAUAUUGGGGAUUACAGUGCGGACUCAGUGGCAAUCUAGUCUUACCUUUGGCGACAGGGUAAAAAUGGAUUUAAAGGGAAACCGCUGAUUUGGCGACAAACCAGUACCCAUUUGGGAAAGCCUACUAGACCUAAGCCGCAAAAUUUACUCAAUAUGCUGCCACUUCCUGCAUCAUAAGA
rnacentral:sRNA from 1 species